UCCUCUUCCUCCUCUUUUCUCUAUGCCCAGUAAGUCUCUCUCUUCCUGAUUAUUGCUGAAAUCAGAUUUCAGCAAAAGAGAUCUUGAAGAAGCCCAAGUCUUGCUGCUACUCUCAAAGAGUUGAGAAGAUUUUUUUUGUCAAGCAAAGGUUCUGUACGGAAGCUAGUAGCCCGAAGAACCAAAAAAAUUGUUGAUCUGCCCUUUACUCUAUGUGGAUACUUGUAGAGAUCAGAUACUUAUGUGGCUACAAGGAAGAAAGUCUUUCUACAAUCAUCGAUUGUAGAGAUCUUCUACCUGCAUAAAGGUAUAAAAAAAAAUUGCUUUCUUUUGUUCUACUUCUUUUCUCAUC
rnacentral:lncRNA from 1 species